rnacentral:lncRNA from 1 species
CAGCGCGGGCGGCGAGCGACGCGGGCCGCAGAGAUAUCCAUUCAGUGUUUGAAUCUUUUUCAAGUUCUGACACUGCGCGACGCUCCAAGGCAGGCACUGCUACCCCUCCCGAGGCCCAGUUAGGAAUUGGAGCAGAAGCUCUACAGGAAGAGAACAGGAGAACCUUUCCUUGACUUGGUCUGCAGUCUUUGCUCACAUCACCGAGUAGAGGAUUUUUCUCCUCUAUGGAACACACUGUACAGGCUGAGUAUGAGACAUUUCCUCUGUGGCUGCUCAUGAAGUCAUUUUCCUCACAGAAAUACUGCAUUAAACUGUCUUUAUGUUUACAUGUAUGAGCCACCUUGAAGAGAUUUUUGUGUGCAUUGUGAGUUUAAACUUCAGC